GGCUCUGAAGUAUAUAUUACGUUGAAUUGCAAAUUCGAAGAAGUAGCAUAGGUGCUGCCGGGGCUU
rnacentral:tRNA from 1 species